UAUCUAUAAGACCCGCAACCACGCCAGCGGUCGGCGUGAAUUUCAUCCUUGCGCCGAACUUGGAGCAUUCGUUCCACGUGCGGACAGCGGAAAUGGCCGUACCCGCAUCCUGAUGUGCAUUAAGUGCAUAGGCGUUCGCACGACUGUGUUGGCUAUCAGAAACGGGGUCUCUCGUGUCUAAAUCUCUUGACAGUUUCAAUUGUCGUUCCACGCUUUCCGUGAACGGGAAAGACUAUGUCUAUUACAGCCUGCCCAAGGCUGAGGCAAACGGUCUGGCCGGCGUCUCGAAGCUUCCCUAUUCGAUGAAGGUGCUGCUGGAAAACCUGCUGCGCUUCGAAGAC
rnacentral:sRNA from 1 species